AGAAUGCACUGCGGUUUGCUGAGGAGGCACCGAGGAAGGCCACUGACCCCUGGACAGCUGGGUGUUGAAGUGGCUGCCAUCCCCUGGUGGCAGCUGGGCGCUGAAGUGGCUGCUCCCUUCUGGGGCCAAAUGUUGGAUAGACUGUGGACUGCAAGAACCUGGAGGAGGAAGCGCCCCAGAACCUGAAGAGAAAUCCCCUGCAGAAGGGUCCCUCCAACCUCUUCCCCUAACAAUGGUUAACAGUGCACGGAGGGGCAAAGGAGAAAGGCGUGUGUGGCUCCAUUUAUAGAACCAUAGGAGGCGGACUAGAGGUGAGAGGCAAAGGAUGGGUAAUGGACACGAAUCGUGACAUCGUAUGGGGAACGAGAGCUCAAGCCACAGCACUGUGGCUCAGCACACAUAGGACGUCAAGCAGGUCCUGUGGGGACAGGUGCACGGAGUACUGCAUACGUGGCAUACAAUAAGGGCGUCUGAGUGGCAGGCCACUCCCCUGGGCUAGGCAUGUGAGCAGCAGGCCGCUUACCCCGUGGGCACAGCCCUGGGCGUGAGGCCAUGAGUUGCAGUCCUGAGCUUGCUCCACAGCCUGCUCCUUGAUUGAUCCCCGCAAGAACAGUUAGCAGAAAUUGCACUGGUGGCUGCCUGUAGUCUGCUCAGCUACUGCCUGAGUAUAUAUACAUGGUAGCUGCGCAAUAAAAUCAGACUGCUUCCUGCUUGGUCUCUGGAGGAUUAGCGACUCUGCAGCCACGCUGUGCUCUACCCUGUUCUGUGGACUUCCUCACUGGACAAGAGAAAGCCCAUGCAAAGUCUCACUCUCUGAGUCUCAACUUCCAGGGCUACAUAGUAGAGAGGCUUUUGAACGUUUGCAACACAAAGAAGGGAUAAAUGUCUGAGGUGGUAGAUCUGUCAAUGACUGAUAUGAUGACACAUGUAUGCAUGCACGCCACCAUUAUGAUUAUG
rnacentral:lncRNA from 1 species